UGUUCUUAAUUUUCCGGUUUCUGCACUGUGCAACUAUACAGUUGCAUUUUUAAUUAACGAUGCCAAGUACUUGUUGUUGUGUACCUGGAUGUCAUUUAAGAGGAGGACAUGCAUUUCCAAAUGACUUAAAAAGAAGGAAAAGUUGGAUCAACGCCAUGGCCCAUUCGCAGAUUGGACGAGAACACGAUGAAAUCGUGGAGUCCAUCUCAAUCAGCUGUUCAGCCUGUUGUUUGCAAGGCACAUUUUACUGAAAAAGACUACGUGCAGGAAACUAUUCAUGGGCGCAAACCCACCAUGCAGAGACUUAAUUCUACUGCCAUUCCCAGCCUAUUUUCCUGGACCAAGCAAGAGACUGAAUCGUCCGCAAAAAGAAAAAUCAGGGCAGGUUCCUGUGAAAACAAAAGAACUAAGUUUCAAGUUUUAUUAAAUCAGGAAAAUCAAUACAAAGUAUAAUGAUGUCUUCCCCCACAUUAACAUGAUAUUACAUCAGAUAGAUAAAUAUAUAUUAUGUAUGACAAAAUAUCAAAUCAAGGUUAAAACUAAACUUGAUGAAUAUUGUAGUAGAAAUCUAGAGGAAAGUUUUGAUUGUAAAGUUGGUUUUCCUGAAGAAGUCAUUCAUACUGCAGACAGGAUUUAUGACUGUCCACCACAAACUGCCGAGCUAAUGUUGAGCUUCACAGAUGGAAUUACGCAAACACCAUCAAUGCCUAUAUAUUCAGCAGAGAAUUUUGAAAUGAAGACACGUGACACAGCCAUGCAUUUUUAUACCUGUUUAGAGUUGUAUACUACAAUUUUAUUUGUUUUGACCACACUUGGUCCAGCAGCACAUUGUUUGAGAUACAUAUAUUUUCAAAUUGAUAGGGUGUCAUUUGAAAAUCAGUUUUUUUAUGACUUUGAUGAAAUUGAGGCAUUAUACAACCAACUUUGAACUGUUCAGAUUCUAGAUUGAAACUAGUGUUAAGAAUGUUGUGUAAACAUGGAUUGUUUUUAUUUUUAAACAGUGGCGUGAGGCUAACACUUGGCCAUUUAGUGGUUAAGUCAGGUAUUUUUCGCCAUCCAACUUCAAAUUAAAGUUUCCUACAACUUGGAUUAUUAUUGACAGCACAGAAUAUCCCGUGAUAAAACCUAAAGCUCCUAGAGCUCAGGCAACCUUUUCAUCAUAUAAAAACAGAAACACUGAAAAUACUCGUACAUGUAUGUUCGACACCUGGUGGUUUAGUCAUCUAUGUCUCUAAUGCAUAUGUUGGUUGUACCAGUGACUGUGAAAUAGUUGAAAGAUGUAGAAUAGUUCAAUUAUGUGAUCCAGGUGACAGUGUGAUGGCAGACAAAGGUUUAAAUGUGCAAGAUUUGUUUGCUCACUUUUUUCAAAAAAAGAAACAGAAUUAGUUCCAAAACUCAUAUACGGGAUAGAAAAGUCUCCAAUUAACACGUGCACAUAGAGCUAAUUAUUGGACUUGGCAAAACAUACAAAAUUCUAAUAAAUCCUAUGAAUGGAACUGAAACAAAACUUUCAUCUGAAAUAACAUUUAGUUGUUUUAUGUUGUGUAAUUUUAGAACUUGUAUUGUGCCAACAUGACAUGGCCAAAGGAUGCAUAAAUAAAAGUGACGCAAUGAA